rnacentral:misc_RNA from 1 species
GGACAUGGCAUCCAAAAUCAACCCUCAUGGCGUUUGACAUUUUCUCACAGAAAAAAAAGGCUUUUUUUUCCUAGAUAUUUCUCCAUACAAGGACAAAAUAUAAAUUGUAUUAAGGUGAAAAUUCACAUUCAAUAGAAAACACUUCCCUCUCACUUUACAUGAUCUGUCCAACACUCCUGCCUGCAAUAGUAUUGGGAAAAA